rnacentral:rRNA from 1 species
UACGUAGGGGGCUAGCGUUGUCCGGAAUCACUGGGCGUAAAGCGCACGUAGGCGGAUUGUUAAGUCAGGGGUGAAAUCCUGGAGCUCAACUCCAGAACUGCCUUUGAUACUGGCGAUCUUGAGUCCGGGAGAGGUGAGUGGAACUGCGAGUGUAGAGGUGAAAUUCGUAGAUAUUCGCAAGAACACCAGUGGCGAAGGCGGCUCACUGGCCCGAUACUGACGCUGAGGCACGAAAGCGUGGGGAGCAAACAGGAUUAGAA